GUUAGCUGACGAGUCCUAAAUAGGACGAAAUGCGUGUGUUAUAC
rnacentral:hammerhead_ribozyme from 1 species